AACGAACGCUGGCGGCGUGGAUAAGACACGCAAGUCGAGCGCGAACUAUUUUGUAGCAAUACAGAGUAGUUCGAGCGGCGCAAGGGUGCGUAACACGUGGGAAUCUGCCGUGAAGUUGGGGAUAAUUCCGGGAAACCGGAACUAAUACCGAAUGUGGCCGCAAGGCCAAAGCUGGGGAUCGCAAGACCUGGCGCUUUACGAUGAGCCCGCGGCCUAUCAGCUAGUUGGUGAGGUAAUGGCUCACCAAGGCUAAGACGGGUAGCUGGUCUGAGAGGACGACCAGCCACACUGGAACUGAGACACGGUCCAGACACCUACGGGUGGCAGCAGUCGAGAAUUUUUCUCAAUGGGCGAAAGCCUGAAGGAGCGACGCCGCGUGGGGGAUGAAGGGUUUUCGAUCCGUAAACCCCUGCAUUCAUGAACAAUGGUUAUCGUUUAAGAGAUGAUGACUUGAUAGUAAUGGAAGAGGAAGGGACGGCUAACUCUGUGCC
rnacentral:rRNA from 1 species